GAUGAACGCUGGCGGCGUGCCUAAUACAUGCAAGUCGAGCGAACAGACGAGGAGCUUGCUCCUCUGACGUUAGCGGCGGACGGGUGAGUAACACGUGGAUAACCUACCUUUAAGACUGGGAUAACUUCGGGAAACCGGAGCUAAUACCGGAUAAUAUAUUGAACCGCAUGGUUCAAUAGUGAAAGACGGUUUUGCUGUCACUUAUAGAUGGAUCCGCGCCGCAUUAGCUAGUUGGUAAGGUAACGGCUUACCAAGGCAACGAUGCGUAGCCGACCUGAGAGGGUGAUCGGCCACACUGGAACUGAGACACGGUCCAGACUCCUACGGGAGGCAGCAGUAGGGAAUCUUCCGCAAUGGGCGAAAGCCUGACGGAGCAACGCCGCGUGAGUGAUGUAGGUCUUCGGAUCGUAAAACUCUGUUAUUAGGGAAGAACAAAUGUGUAAGUAACUAUGCACGUCUUGACGGUACCUAAUCAGAAAGCCACGGCUAACUACGUG
rnacentral:rRNA from 1 species